rnacentral:rRNA from 1 species
GGUUAAGCGACUAAGCGUACACGGUGGAUGCCCUGGCAGUCAGAGGCGAUGAAGGACGUGCUAAUCUGCGAUAAGCGUCGGUAAGGUGAUAUGAACCGUUAUAACCGGCGAUUUCCGAAUGGGGAAACCCAGUGUGUUUCGACACACUAUCAUUAACUGAAUCCAUAGGUUAAUGAGGCGAACCGGGGGAACUGAAACAUCUAAGUACCCCGAGGAAAAGAAAUCAACCGAGAUUCCCCCAGUAGCGGCGAGCGAACGGGGAGGAGCCCAGAGCCUGAAUCAGUGUGUGUGUUAGUGGAAGCGUCUGGAAAGGCGCGCGAUACAGGGUGACAGCCCCGUACACAAAAAUGCACAUGCUGUGAGCUCGAUGAGUAGGGCGGGACACGUGGUAUCCUGUCUGAAUAUGGGGGGACCAUCCUCCAAGGCUAAAUACUCCCUGACUGACCGAUAGUGAACCAGUACCGUGAGGGAAAGGCGAAAAGAACCCCGGCGAGGGGGAGUGAAAAAGAACCUGAAACCGUGUACGUACAAGCAGUGGGAGCACAGAGCAAUCUGUGUGACUGCGUACCUUUGUAUAAUGGGUCAGCGACUUAUAUUCUGUAGCAAGGUUAACCGAAUAGGGGGAGCCGAAGGGAAACCGAGUCUUAACUGGGCGUUAAGUUGCAGGGUAUAGACCCGAAACCCGGUGAUCUAGCCAUGGGCAGGUUGAAGGUUGGGUAACACUAACUGGAGGACCGAACCGACUAAUGUUGAAAAAUUAGCGGAUGACUUGUGGCUGGGGGUGAAAGGCCAAUCAAACCGGGAGAUAGCUGGUUCUCCCCGAAAGCUAUUUAGGUAGCGCCUCGUGAAUUCAUCUCCGGGGGUAGAGCACUGUUUCGGCAAGGGGGUCAUCCCGACUUACCAACCCGAUGCAAACUGCGAAUACCGGAGAAUGUUAUCACGGGAGACACACGGCGGGUGCUAACGUCCGUCGUGAAGAGGGAAACAACCCAGACCGCCAGCUAAGGUCCCAAAGUCAUGGUUAAGUGGGAAACGAUGUGGGAAGGCCCAGACAGCCAGGAUGUUGGCUUAGAAGCAGCCAUCAUUUAAAGAAAGCGUAAUAGCUCACUGGUCGAGUCGGCCUGCGCGGAAGAUGUAACGGGGCUAAACCAUGCACCGAAGCUGCGGCAGCGACACUGUGUGUUGUUGGGUAGGGGAGCGUUCUGUAAGCCUGUGAAGGUGUGCUGUGAGGCAUGCUGGAGGUAUCAGAAGUGCGAAUGCUGACAUAAGUAACGAUAAAGCGGGUGAAAAGCCCGCUCGCCGGAAGACCAAGGGUUCCUGUCCAACGUUAAUCGGGGCAGGGUGAGUCGACCCCUAAGGCGAGGCCGAAAGGCGUAGUCGAUGGGAAACAGGUUAAUAUUCCUGUACUUGGUGUUACUGCGAAGGGGGGGACGGAGAAGGCUAUGUUGGCCGGGCGACGGUUGUCCCGGUUUAAGCGUGUAGGCUGGUUUUCCGAGGCAAAUCCGGAAAAUCAAGGCUGAGGCGUGAUGACGAGGCACUACGGUGCUGAAGCAACAAAUGCCCUGCUUCCAGGAAAAGCCUCUAAGCAUCAGGUAACAUCAAAUCGUACCCCAAACCGACACAGGUGGUCAGGUAGAGAAUACCAAGGCGCUUGAGAGAACUCGGGUGAAGGAACUAGGCAAAAUGGUGCCGUAACUUCGGGAGAAGGCACGCUGAUAUGUAGGUGAAGUCCCUCGCGGAUGGAGCUGAAAUCAGUCGAAGAUACCAGCUGGCUGCAACUGUUUAUUAAAAACACAGCACUGUGCAAACACGAAAGUGGACGUAUACGGUGUGACGCCUGCCCGGUGCCGGAAGGUUAAUUGAUGGGGUCAGCGCAAGCGAAGCUCUUGAUCGAAGCCCCGGUAAACGGCGGCCGUAACUAUAACGGUCCUAAGGUAGCGAAAUUCCUUGUCGGGUAAGUUCCGACCUGCACGAAUGGCGUAAUGAUGGCCAGGCUGUCUCCACCCGAGACUCAGUGAAAUUGAACUCGCUGUGAAGAUGCAGUGUACCCGCGGCAAGACGGAAAGACCCCGUGAACCUUUACUAUAGCUUGACACUGAACAUUGAGCCUUGAUGUGUAGGAUAGGUGGGAGGCUUUGAAGUGUGGACGCCAGUCUGCAUGGAGCCGACCUUGAAAUACCACCCUUUAAUGUUUGAUGUUCUAACGUGGACCCGUGAUCCGGGUUGCGGACAGUGUCUGGUGGGUAGUUUGACUGGGGCGGUCUCCUCCUAAAGAGUAACGGAGGAGCACGAAGGUUGGCUAAUCCCCGGUCGGACAUCAGGAGGUUAGUGCAAUGGCAUAAGCCAGCUUGACUGCGAGCGUGACGGCGCGAGCAGGUGCGAAAGCAGGUCAUAGUGAUCCGGUGGUUCUGAAUGGAAGGGCCAUCGCUCAACGGAUAAAAGGUACUCCGGGGAUAACAGGCUGAUACCGCCCAAGAGUUCAUAUCGACGGCGGUGUUUGGCACCUCGAUGUCGGCUCAUCACAUCCUGGGGCUGAAGUAGGUCCCAAGGGUAUGGCUGUUCGCCAUUUAAAGUGGUACGCGAGCUGGGUUUAGAACGUCGUGAGACAGUUCGGUCCCUAUCUGCCGUGGGCGCUGGAGAACUGAGGGGGGCUGCUCCUAGUACGAGAGGACCGGAGUGGACGCAUCACUGGUGUUCGGGUUGUCAUGCCAAUGGCACUGCCCGGUAGCUAAAUGCGGAAGAGAUAAGUGCUGAAAGCAUCUAAGCACGAAACUUGCCCCGAGAUGAGUUCUCCCUGACCCUUUAAGGGUCCUGAAGGAACGUUGAAGACGACGACGUUGAUAGGCCGGGUGUGUAAGCGCAGCGAUGCGUUGAGCUAACCGGUACUAAUGAACCGUGAGGCUUAACCUU